AUCAAUCAAGAAAGCAGGAAAGAACGGGUGAAGCGAUAGGGCGGCACGCAAGUGACAUGGCGGUCAGGCUGUAGGAUAACAGACAGAUGCGACAAAAGAAAAACCGCAAAGGCUCUGUGACCUUUACAAGCGUUGCUUUGUAGAUCCUUUUCCCCAAACCAGCAACAGCUAUGACCCACUAUUUGAAGAAAGCGGACAGGUUAACUUUUCCCCUAUAACAAGAAGAUGUUAAGCAGAAGAAUCAACCGAGCGAGAUGACACAGCACUUGAUUGAA
rnacentral:ncRNA from 1 species